UACGGAGGAUCCGAGCGUUAUCCGGAUUUAUUGGGUUUAAAGGGUGCGUAGGUGGAUUGGUAAGUCAGUGGUGAAAGUUUGCAGCUUAACUGUAACAGUGCCGUUGAUACUGGGGAGCUAGGAUUUGGUUGCUGUGGGUGGAAUGUGUGGUGUAGCGGUGAAAUGCUUAGAGAUCACACAGAAUAUCGAUUGCGAAGGCAGCUCACAAAGCCAAGAUUGACGCUGAGGCACGAAAGUGUGGGGAUCAAACAGGAUUA
rnacentral:rRNA from 1 species